UACGGGGGGGGCAAGCGUUGUUCGGAAUUACUGGGCGUAAAGGGCUCGUAGGCGGCCAACUAAGUCAGACGUGAAAUCCCUCGGCUCAACCGGGGAACGGGCGCCGAUACGACCGCCCUGGAGGGGCGUAGGGGGAUCGGGAACUUCCGGUGGAGCGGUGAAAUGCGUUGAGAUCGGAAGGAACGCCCGUGGCGAAAGCGCGGUCCUGGACGCUUACUGACGCUGAGACGCGAAAGCCAGGGGAGCGAACGGG
rnacentral:rRNA from 1 species